CACGUAGGGUGCGAGCGUUGUCCGGAAUUAUUGGGCGUAAAGAGCUCGUAGGCGGUGUGUCGCGUCGGCCGUGAAAACCUGCAGCUUAACUGUGGGCUUGCGGUCGAUACGGGCGGACUAGAGGUAGGCAGGGGAGAACGGAAUUCCUGGUGUAGCGGUGAAAUGCGCAGAUAUCAGGAGGAACACCGGUGGCGAAGGCGAGUCCCUGGACGAUACCUGACACUGAGGCACGAAAGCCAAGGGAGCAAACAGG
rnacentral:rRNA from 1 species